CUUAGUGCGGGAAGCAUAGUUCACGUUAGGUGGUUCUGGUAAUUGGCUGAUCGGGUGCAUCGAAGAUCAGAUCGCUUAAAAAAUCGACUAAUCAGAUAACUACUACUCGACACGAUGCGGCUCGGAUCGCUCGCAUUUUUUGUCAUCAUCGUUUCGUUCGUCUCGGCGAUAACGGUAGACCUCUCAUUUCGGAAAAUGACGAAGGAAGAUUUCUUUAUAAAAAUACAGAACAAAAUCAAUCUGCAAGAAGUGACGGAUCUCAAUUUAAGGGGAAACGAAAUUGACAGUUUUCUGGAUUGCUCUACUAAUCUGGAGGCACUAAAAACAUUAGAUUUAUCUCAGAAUCAUCUUCAGAGAUUCUUCUUCUUAUGCAAAGAAGAAUACCAUUUGCAAUUGUUAAACGUAAGCCACAAUAAACUAGAAUACAUCGAUGAUAAUGCUCUCAAUGAUCGAAUGACGAAACUGAAGAUAUUAGAUCUUUCUUUCAACAAGCUCACUGUCGUCAACGAGACCAUGUUACAACAUCUAACGAUUCUGGAGUAUUUGUCUUUGUCCUAUAAUCCCAUAGGGGAUGGAAUUCACGAAAAUGCUUUUUGGAAUUUAAAGGCAUUAAAACAUCUAGACCUGAGUAACAUAUCCGCGCCAUACUUUUUAUCAAAUUUCUUCAAGACCUUGACAAACUUGUCGACUUUGGAUCUAUCUUGGAACCCGAUCAGUGCGAUACCUUUAUUACCGAUAAAUUUACAAGAGUUGGAUUUAUCUGGCACGCAAAUGAUAAGUUUUGAGAACCUAUAUCUACCGCAGUUACAAGAAUUGCGGCUAAACCACAUGCCGAAUUUGACAUCGCUGGCACUGAAUGAUCUCGAGAAUCUGACCAGUCUGGAGACGUUAUCAUUGAUCGGUUCCAAACGGUUGGUCUUACUUAAUCUUUGGUCGCAAAUCGGCAUCGUGCUACCACGAUUGCAGCGACUUUCGAUAAAAGACUGCGGCCUCAAAACCUUGACUGUUGAGCUGCGUCCUUUGAUACAACGAACACCCGUUGUUGAAUUAGAAAACAAUCCUUGGGAAUGUGACUGCAACUUGGAAUGGAUUGGCCUGUUGAAUUCGACUAGGAAUCUCAGUCGAGACAUUAGAUGCCAUGCACCAGAUCGACAUCAUGCCAAACUCCUGGCUGAAAUCCUGAAAUAUGAGCUGCAAUGUGAAUACAACACGUCCGUCAUCUAUCCGAUCCUGUGGACAGGCUUCUCGAUAUUGAUCGUUGCCAUGAUCGUAGCCACGGUUUUGGUUCUCCUCAGACGGCCAAUAAGCCAAUGGAGCUUCAAGGGAAGGAACGGGGAUACCGUCACGUACAAAAACGUUGUGGAGUCGAACAAUGAUCUGGUCCGAAUACUGGCGGUGUCCGAGACGCACGAACGCAACGAAGAAUGAAGCCAAAUUGAAAGUGGAAAGAGAAAGAACAACACAGACGAGUGGACGGAAAAAUCGUCCGCUAACAGCGGACAUUUCAGCAAGUCUUUUUGCAAAAAGCUUUAUUGUAACGUUACCUUGUAACGUAAAAUAUCGUAAUUGCGAUGACCACCCAUGGAAGUCGUCCUAAAAGAUUAUCUUAUUGUUUUCUUUUUCACGUAGGUGGAAUACGUUGGUUCACAGCAUGUAAAUAGAACAAAUGUUGAUUUAAGAUAUUUCAGCAAGAUCAUCCUUUCUAUGCAAUAAGUCUAAAGCUGAUUCCUAUGCCGAUAGGUAACGAAUUAUCUACAUUAUUAUUAUUAUUAUUAUUAUCUGUAUACAAACGUAUACAGAUCUAAAUGAAGUAUAAUCGAAUGAGAAAAGUUUCUCAGGCCUCGUGAACUCAAAUGAUUAAAUUCAAUGAUCAUAUUCGAAUUCUCGAACAGCAUUCCCAGUGUCCGAUAAUAAAAACUGAAACCUCUGUAGUCGAAUAAAACA